AUGGUUAAGUGGGGGGCACCCCUGAAUCCGCCAUGCCGCGUGUGUGAAGAAGGCCCUCGGGUUGGAAAGCACUUUCAGCGAGGAAGAACGCUUGUCGGUUAAUACCCGGCAAGGGAGACAUCACUCGCAGAAGAAGCACCGGGUAACUCCGUGCCAGCAGCCGCGGUAAUACGGAGGGUGCCAGCGUUAAUCGGAAUUACUGGGCGUAAAGCGUGCGUAGGCGGCUUGAUAAGCCGGUUGUGAAAGCCCCGGGCUCAACCUGGGAACGGCAUCCGGAACUGUUAGGCUAGAGUGCAGGAGAGGAAGGUAGAAUUCCCGGUGUAGCGGUGAAAUGCGUAGAGAUCGGGAGGAAUACCAGUGGCGAAGGCGGCCUUCUGGACUGACACUGACGCUGAGGUACGAAAGCGUGGGUAGCAAACAGGAUUAGAUACCCUGGUAGUCCACGCCGUAAACCAUGUCGACUAGCCGUUGGGGUCCUCGAGACCUUUGUGGCGCAGUUAACGCACUAAGUCGACCGCCUGGGGAGUACGGCCGCAAGGUUAAAACUCAAAUGAAUUGACGGGGGCCCGCACAAGCGGUGGAGCAUGUGGUUUAAUUCGAUGCAACGCGAAGAACCUUACCUACCCUUGACAUCGUGCGAACUUUCCAGAGAUGGAUUGGUGCCUUCGGGAGCGCACAGACAGGUGCUGCAUGGCUGUCGUCAGCGUCGUGUUUGUGAAAUGUUGGGUUAAGUCCCCGUAAACGAAGCGCAACCCUUGUCCCCUAUUUGCCCAGCGAUUUCGGUCGGGAACUCUUAGGGAAGACUGCUUGUGACAAACCGGGAGGAAGGUGGGGACAACGUCAAGUCAUUCAUGGCCUCUUUACGGGUACGGCUACACCACGUGCUACAAUGGCCGGGAC
rnacentral:rRNA from 1 species